rnacentral:rRNA from 1 species
AUGGAAAAUCCCGGCGGGGCGAGGAAGAAGAAGAGGAGGAAGGGAAGCGGCGGCGAGGCGGCCGCCUCCUUCGACCGCGACGUCUUCCCCAUCCUCCUCGCGGCCGUCGCGCCAACCACCCGGCCGAACCAGCGCGCCUCCUCCUCCUCCGCCGCCGCCGCCGCCGCGCGCCUCCUGCGCCGCCUUCUCUCCCGCUCGCCGCCGGCGCCACCGCUCUCCCCUCUCCCGAGAUCCCUCGUCGCGCUUCUGCCGCUCCUCCUCACCUCCAGCUCGCAUUCUGUGGCCGCGCUGAGCUGCGAGGUGAUGGGCGCGGCGGCGCUGCAGUCCAUGGAGGCCGGCGAGACGCUGGUAUCCGACGGCGGGAUCGCCAGUGGCUUGGCGCGGGCGUUGGGGACUAGCAGCCAGCGUGUGUCCGAGGCUGCCUGCAAUGCUGUGAUGGAUCUCUCGGCGUCUCCGGUUGGCAGGGAACGUCUCUCGGGCUCCCCUGUUCUGCCCAGGCUAUUGUACCUAUUUUCUCAGGUGGAAUCUAUUUCUGCGGUUGUCGGUAGCAGGAGCACCGAGUGCCAAGCAAGGAUGUCAGAGCCAGAUAAAUGUUUGAACUUGAUCAUUGACACAGUGGUGCUCAUGGUGAACUCCUGUAAAGUCGACAAGUUGCACAAUCUGCAGCAAGAGCUAGUUAGAAAAGUUAUGCAUUUGUUGUAUGAAUUAUGGAGCCAAGUUAUACUCUUACGAUCAUCAGCUGACUGCAGCAACUGGAAGGAUCAACUCCAAAGCAGACCAGAUGAGAUAUCUGAAGCUAUUUUUAGGCUUUCGAUGGAUCUUUCUUAUCCAGCCCACCUGGAAUCUGAUGAGGUCAGAGAAAGCUUUUUUGGACAAACGGAAUCUGACUUCGAAAAGUUUGCCCUGAUGUACUGGGAAAACUCUCCUUAUUUAUACAGGAAGAAACAAAGUGAUCUGGAGGGGGAUGCCGUGUUCACUACAUUGCAUAAUGCUUUUGAUCUUAGAACACCUGAUUCCAUCAUUGAGUCACUCAUACAGGGGCUUGUUUCCUGCCCUGCUAUUGCUUCGGAUGAACUCAACAUAAAUUCAUUUCUCCAUGAGGCUCAUGAUUCCUUGGGUGCUCCUGUGAAGUAUAGGCAAGAUGUAAGAGUCGUGAGAACACGAGAUCAGUGCUCAACAGGAUCUUGGAUGGAGGAGCAUUUCUUCGAUGAUGGAAUGGUCUUCCCGGAUGCAACUGCAUUUGUUGAAAAAUGUAAGGGCGCAAUCAGGAAUGGUUUCUCAAUUGCCUUGCGUGGCAUGGAGUUCCGAUCCGAAAAGAUUGCUGCUAUAGCCUCUGCUCUAGCUGAUCUAUUUGGUCAGCCUUCUGUAGGGGCCAACAUAUACUUCUCACCCCCAAGAUCUCAAGGCCUGGCUCGGCAUUAUGACGACCACUGUGUGCUUGUUUGGCAACUACUUGGGUGCAAGAAGUGGAAGAUCUGGCCCAAUACAAAGUCAAUUUUGCCUAGACUAUAUGAACCCUUUCACUCUUUAGAUGGCUUGGUGGAUGAUAGUGGCGGAAGGGUGGAAGUUCUACAUGAAGGAGACAUAAUGUAUGUUCCUAGAGGCCAUGUGCAUGAGGCUCACACUGACGUAGACGAAGGUGAAUCUGAAGCCAAUGCAUCUGCCAAUUACUCGCUACAUUUGACCCUUGCCAUCGAGGUCGAGCCACCCUUUGAGUGGGAAGGAUUCAUACACAUUGCUCUUCACUGCUGGUUGGAGGAGCAGAAACUUGUGGGGAGCUCUGGAUCCGUCGAGUCCAGGAUGGAAGAACAAGCUCCAUUGUUUGCUCUCCUGCUGCAUGUGGCCAUCAGGCUGCUCUCGGAUGACGAUCCUACUCUCAGGAAGGCGUGCAUGGUGGCGGCAAAGUUCCCGUCAUCCAGUAACUCCCUUCCAAUGUCCCAUCUGAACUCUCUCAGAAGCAGCCAGAGAUCAACCUUCUCCGAGAUACUCGACAAGAUCGACAAAAGCUGCAGCUUCGAGGAUGCGCUGAGGUCGAUCGAGCUCGCGGUCAAGGCGAGGAACGAUGAGCCCUUCCAGUGGAUGUCCUGGCUCAGACAUCUCCCGCAGCAGCAGCACGGUCUCGGGAGGAUCGACUUCUGCGACGUCCUGGGACCCCUGGAAGAACUUGUCGACAUGUUCAGCUCCGACAGCGAGGGAGCCUCGGCUGAUUUCGCCGAGUUCAGGUCGAGGUUCUGUAGGCGCGCCGUGUACGACGGUGCUCGCAGGGAGUUCGAGUCGCUGCUCAGCAUGUACAGGACGGCUCGGUCGCGGUACGCCAAGGGCAUGCUGGCGCUGCACGGGAAGCAUGGAGGCUAG